AUGGAACGGACUGGGUCUAUUCAGGACUAAGGAGAAAGGAAGAUGUUGGUAAAAAUUGCCAGUGACCAGUACUCUAAAUAAAAGCUACAAAAAAGAGAGAUUCAGGUGAGACAGAAGGAAGAAGAGUUCUUUGUUCUGCCUGUGACCAGCCACCAAGGGGAAGUUACACAGCCUUCUCUGAGGCUGAAGGAUUUAAGGAUACUACUCACGCAAAUAGCACUCCUGCUGGAAAAACGAUAUGUCUACCAACACACCAUUAAUCUAACCAAAUGAUGUCAUCAAUUUUACUGUUAGAGACAUCAGGACUUUCCUAGUGGCACAGUGGUUAAGAAUCUGCCUGCCAAUGCAGGGGACACAGGUUUGAUCCCUGGGCUGGGAAGAUCCCACAUGCUGCGGAGCAACUAAGAGCUGGUGCGCCACAACUACUGAGCCCACAUGCCUAGAGCCCGUGCUCCGCAACAAAGGAAGCCACCACACUGAGAAGCCCAUGCACUGCAAUGAAGAGUAGCCCCCACUCACUACAACUAGAGAAAGCCCGCGUGCAGCAAUGAAGACCGAA